rnacentral:snoRNA from 2 species
AAGACUGUACUUUCAGGGGUCAUUUCUAUAGUUUGUUACUAGACAAGUUUCUCUGAAUGUGUAGAGUACCCAAAACCAUGAGGAGGAGGCAGAAAAAAAAUCUCUGGCAGACCCUGCUUUCAAUUCUUUUGGGCGUAUACCCAGAGGUGGAAUUGCUGGAUCAUAUGGU